GCGGCACCUCGUGGAUGUCACCCAUGGCUGGAGCCGCUUCCCGCCUUCCGCCCAGGGAGGGACGCGGCCCCGGGAACGCGGCGGUCGGGGCGGGACUUCCCCUCCGCCCGAGGCGACCCGGAAGCGGAGGCGGAGGCCGGUAACACCUUAGAAGAAAAGAAGAAGCCAAAGAGACUAUGUUCAGCUUCUUCCGAAAAAGUCAAGAUUCAAAAAAGGUCACAGUGCCAGAGAGAGAAGCAGAUGGAUUUGUUAUUGUGGGUGACACAGCUGAUGAUCAAAGUAGAGACUCAAAGGAUAAAACUUCAUUUCCAGAGACCAGACCGAUGUACAGUCCGCCUUCACAGAUAAAUACAGGGCAGCGGUCACAGUUGACUGUAUCAAGCACAGAGAUGGGAAAUCAAAGGAGUCAGACUUUGGAAAGCAGCCCUUUCAUGUCAGACCUCCUGAGCGAUGUCCCCUUUGCCCUCGCACCACAUGUGCUAGCAGUGCAGGGCACCCACAGCGACGUUCCUGACCGACUGCUCACCUACGACAUCAAUGAGAAUCUAUCAAGAUUUUGACCUUUCUGGAACUUUCCACUUGUCAUACUGGGAUCUGUGAGAAUACCACCACCUCGAGAGUCACUCUCUUACAAUGUCGCUUUAAAUUAAUGGUAAAAAUUAAAAGUUAAAACCAGAAAGAAGCAACACAGGUCUUCUGGCUAGCAACCACUCUCUUGAUAAAAGAUGACAUGCAGCUGCUCUUAUCAAGGUAAAAGCUGCUGCCAGAGAGGCUGAACUCAAUCAUUGCUGCAAGACCAGAACAAGAACCCAGAUAAACAAUUUGUUUUUGAAUUAUGACCCAUGAAUAAGCAUCAUUCAAUAUGGUUAGAAGAUGGCCAUUCUCCCAUCUGCUGUGUGAUUUGCUUGUCCUUCCUAUGGAAAACAAAAAAACCAACAACAAGCAUGCAUGAGUUCAGGAGACCUGGGAGAUCAGACACCUGAUUUCACUGCAUGAAAACUUUCUCGAAGUGACAGAAAAGACAACAUCCAUCCCUAAGAUCUGUUCAACCAAAGGGGUGAGUCACCCUUACAUCUUGCCUGGAGCAUUGUGUGUCCCAGGCCAGAGGUGCUAGCAAAAUCUUGAAAGUGGUCUGAGGAGAGCUGAAAGUAUUGUGAAAGACUCCACCAGACUGUUUGCAGAGAAACCCUAUCUUUGUAAAAUGCUAAUCAGAGCCAGCAAAUUUCCAAGCAUCCCAAGAUGAGGAACUCAUCCACCUAGUACUCUGCUGAUGGUCAAGUAGGAGAUCCAUUUCUAAGGACCACUGUGCCUUAGGACAUCAGCUCACUCUUCAGACAUCUUAAAUGUACAUAAUAAAAUAACUUAAUAUGAAGUUAAGUUGUUUCCUGGAAGAAAAAAUAAAGGGAAAGAAAGAGAAGAAACAAAAGAAAGAGCGAGUAAAGAGCAGAAGCCUCCUUGAUCUAGCCAUCACUUGGCUGAAUGGGAGGCACAGGUUCACAUUACACUCCUUUGGAAUGAUAAUCACACCCUUCUUUGAGGCUGACACACCACUGGGAGGAUUAUCUUUGCAGGGCAGCCCAGAUCCUUCUCACUGAUAAAGCUGCUGUAUCUGAAAAGUAUUUGGCAGAACUGUCACCAUACACACAAACAGAGGAGCUGACUCUCCUAACCUCAGAGGCUUGGUAUGGGGAGUUGUCUGCAGCAGCUCCUGUGCCCUCCCGAUCAACUCUACAGAUCACCUAUGUAACUUGGAGAAGAAAACAUGGUUUCCUUGGGGAGCUUUGAGGUGGUUUUAUUAAUGGUUUAUAAACCUUUUGAGGUAACAUUUUCAAGGUAACAAGCGUUUUCUUCACCCAUUGCUUUCCCACCCACAUCCACUUCUGAACAAACAGCUUUCUUCUCUCUCCUUGUGGGCUAAGAAGUCACCAAGAAAAAUUCCUUUUUGCUUUUCUUUCCAAAAUUAAGAGAUACUGCUUCUCCUACCCUUGCAUGAUCAAUUGCACUUAUUACUCCCUUUUGCUGGACUCCUUAUGACUUAUGUCAUAUAACAUCAUUUUUCCAGAUACAUUUUCUGUUUAACAUUCCUGUUUACUGGUAGAGCCAAAGCCAUAACUCAACACUAUAGGGGAAGGUCUUUCCCUUAAGACUUUUCAUCAUGGGUGUAUAAUAACUGAGCAAUUACACCCCAGAGCUUGGUUUCUGCAUGAUGACACUUAUCCCCACUGUUUUUUGGAAUGUUCUAUCUCCACCAGCAGUGGUUCCAUUGUAUCUCAAGCAUCAGGGAAAUAAUGCCUGUCUACAUCUACUUAGCUGGCAUGUAGAAGUUUAAUUUCUUCAAGUAACAUGGGUCCUUUUUGUCAUUUAGGACUAAAAAGAAUCUGAACAAAUUAUCCAGUAGAUGUGCUUCAUUGGGACUACUCUGAUCUGUCAGAGAAAGAACUCUCUUUAUGGCCAAAUAAUGCUUAUAGAUAGAUUUGCCAAACAAUGCUUUUCUUUCCAAGGACCCAUAAAUCUCAGAGUACUUUUGAGAGUAAUAAAUGUUGCAAUAAUGCUGUUCUUGAUUACAGGCAAGCCUAUAACAGCUCUGACUGGUAGUGAUUCCAUAAUUAUAUUUGAUUACAGACGGGCUCUGUGCAGUGCAAGGGGGUUAUUUGUUGCCUUCUAUCAGUCCUGGAUUCCACUGGGCUCCACUGGAGACCAAGAGCACGCCAUGCCAGCACACACAGCUUACUCAGCUGCCUUCCUCAGAGCUUUGUCACUAAAGCAAAGCAUUUAAUAGCAGGAGCUGUGAUAGUUGGGUGUGCAAAACCUUAUAUGGGACAGCAAUUAAGCCACUCUGUAACUACAUCAAGCGAGGGCCACUGCCUAAGAGGAUCCUGAAUUUCAGGAGCCCUUGAGGACCUGAUCUUGCAUACUUCAUAGUGUGCAGGGGCUAAAGUUACUCGUGCCUUUAUUACAAGGACAGUAAGGGCCAAAGUGACAAUGAGAAAUAAACUGUAUCUGUAACAUUGUCCACACUUUCUAUUACUAAAGAACUUUAAAAAAGGAAAAGCUCCAUUAAGUCAAAUAGCCCUCCCUCUGUCAAUGAACAAUAAAAAAAAAAAAAAAAAAAAUCAUGCCUUACAAUUUAUUCUCCAGUGCUUUGUUUAUUUGGUAUUAAAUGACUCAUGGAAUAAGGUUUCCACCUCUCCCCGUGGGAGAUUAUUCCAGCUGCUGAGGGCCUACUAGCAGCUCCCUUUCUUUCCUUUCUCUUUUAAUGAUGCCGGAGUUUUGCAUUAUAUUUUAGUUGUAAAAGAGACACAGGAAAUUCACAUCCCCAAACUUGCUUUAAAAUGCAAUUAAAGCUGUUGACAUGAACUCAGAAAUCUAAGGACACACGCAGUUAAAAUAGAAAUGUAUCAUAUAUUUCACUUAAAUACUGUGCCACCUCAACAGAACACUUUUAAGCUAACUGCACACUUCCUUACUUUUAUAGGUUUGUUCCUUACUAUUAUGUAAAUGCACUUUUAUUGUAUUUAGCAUAUUGUAUUGUAAAUUAGCAUUAGGCAAACUCCUAAAGCCUGUUUUAUAGCUGUCACACCAACAAACCACAUUUACAAAUAAAUAUUUGUUUCUACAGGGGAGUAUAUUACCUACUUGGAAAUGAUAAUUAUUUCCAGCAUUUUGACUCAGUGCUGGGACUCUGCUCCGGUCCCACAACCUGUUGUAUGCACAGAAUGGAAGAUUCUUACAAAGAAUACUUUGCUUAUAGAGUAGCAUGCCCUAAAAUUAUUUAAAUGUGUCUCUCUAAUGCAUUUUAUUGUUAUUAUUUUUACCAGGUGCUGCAAAAUCUAUUGAAAAAGAGAAUAUUCUCCUGCUUUAAAAAUUCAUAGCGUGUUUACCUCCCAGUAGUAGUUGUGGAGUCCACCAUGUCACUCAACAGCAUCCCAUUUGGCUGGUAAAGGAGCAGUGAUGAUAAGUUCCAAAUAAAAUUAAGUCCUGUUUGUUGUGCCUAGAAAGAAAGGUCGUGGUGAACAAGGCUUUAUUUGUCAGAAACAGUGAAGCAGGAUAACUAGAGGGGUAGAAGCAACACAGAAAAGGACUCUCUGGAAUGAAGGUUGAAGUUCCCUAACCCUCAGAUUUGCCUUUUAAACCGGUAUUGUCAAAAUGUACCUUUAUUAAUAGCAGCACCAAUCUGACAGCUAGGACACUGGUGUGGUAGGGGCAUUCAUGCUUAAUGUAAUUCAAAAAAAAACAACAUAAAACCAGAUACAGACCAAAUCAAGAAAUCUUAAUAGAAAGAUGUCAGGGACUCUACUAUCAGACACUUAUUACUCUUUUAAUGGAUCAUAAUGGCUUCAAAUCUACCUCGUUAGGGGGAUGCUGCUCAUUUAAAAAGUUUAAUAUCAUACAAAUCAAAGUACUAUACAGUACAUUUGUGCUUUCCUAAUAUCCUUAGCAAGGUAACUGCUCACAUGAAAUGGUGCUCUCCUUUUUUUUUAUUAUAUUGGUGUGAAUGGUAAUAGAUAGUAUCAUUAUAUUUAAAUUGCUACUGGCAUUUGCUUACUGUUUCUACCUUUUUCCAUUAAAGAUACUAUUGCUGUGCAUAAUACACAGUACUCUGAAAACAAUUUUUUUCCCUCACAGAUGGUUCUAUGAUGUGACAUGAAGAUAUUUUAAGAAAUAAUUACUUUUGUUAGGCCAACAUGAAGUGUUGCAUUAUUUUGCUGUUAUUAUUGAUAUCUUUCAGAUAAGAGACUGGCAAGAGAAAUUAUAGUAAAGAACUGCUAGAAGUGUCCUUUACAUUUAACAUAGCAAAUUAUCAGAAUACCAGCCAUUUUACCUGUGUUUCAAUCAGUUUCACUUUGGAGAAUAGCAACCACACAUACUUGUCCAAAAGUGUCCAAAUACCAAAUGCCUAGAAAUGGAAAAGAGGGAAAACAAACCUGCAGAUCCCUCAGCUCCUCAUUUGAAAGAACUUGGGUUUAGCCCCAGCUGUGCAAAUCAGACUUUUUCCCAGAUUAUGAACUGGGGAAGGGAGAUGGAGAUGGUUGUUGAGUCAAGCAACCAAACUCAGAAUAUUAAUGUAGGGCAGGAUUGCUGCCUGCAGAAAACUCAGCUUCCCAUGGGAUAUGGUCUGACAUGGUGAACUUGCUAGUAAAGGAGAGCAUGGAAUAGAGCUACCUGUACCAAUGAAUAGAAAGAAAAAUUUCAGACUGAAUGCAGAGCUGGAAGAAAGGUUUGGUGAUUUUAGCUGUGUGUUCAGUGUUUGCCUUUAUGUUAAAGUAGAUGCCUAAGGAAUACAUAAUUCAAAAGUCCAAAGUGGUUGGCCUAUUUUUCCGAAGAAGAGGAUGUAGUAGUAGGUCUGAUUCCAGAUGAGAUAAGACUUUGUUAUAGCAAAUGUAUAUUUGUUCUGGUUUAAGUGAGUUAUUCAGUAUCACAAAAAGACUUCUGACAGGUAGGAAAAAAAAAAGACAAUUAUCCAAAAUGGUAUUCAAUUUUCUUAAGGGAAAAAUCUAACAGCUGGCUCUUAUUCUGUAGUUUCCUGGCUUGUUCAUUAUGCAGACCUCACUCUUAGUGACAAUCCUUUGCAGUGAAUGAAAUAAUGUUAACAAUAGCAUUUGACUAAAAAGGAAGUACUAUAAUACCUUCUGGCUGAAAUUCGACUGUAAACUUGAUUCUGAAAUUUUCUGAAGUUUGUGAGUCAAAUACUAAAUUUGACCUAGUAUAAAUACUGUUGGACCAUAGGUCUACCAGCCCUUUACUUAAUGCAUUUUCCCCAUAUCCAGGAAAAAAAGACACAAAAAAAAGACAUCUAACACUUGAGCACAUGCUUGGCCCUAAACUGGAUAAUCAGCAGGGUUAAGGUAAGUCCUCAGUGGUGGGUUUCCUUCUGUUGGUGGAAGAUAACUUGAGUGUGUAGCGACUCAAAAGUGAUCAUGAGUUGGAAGUCUCAUCCCUGGCUAGUAUCAACAAAGCCAGCAGUGGGGAUAAUGAUGUUGUAUCCGCAGCCCUGGAGAAUUCAAGGGCUCAAAUGCAAGGUAAUUCCCAAGAGGCUUGGGGAUAGAGAGUGCUUGGCUGAUCUGAGGAGAUCAUAUCUGUGCCACUGAACAUUUGGGAGCAGUGAGAAGAUGGAGUGUGGUUGAUGAAGGCAGUGUCUGUUUGUCAAAAAUCCUUGUAGUAAAAAUAAUUCCAUAUAUAUUCUUUCCCCAUUACUGUCUUAUUCUAGCUAGAACUUUGUUUGAAGGCAAAACAGACCAAAAAUGAAACCAACAUCUCCACAGCUUGAGACACAUAUUUUCUAAGAAAAUGGGCCACUGCUGCUUCAGCAGAGCUGCUCAGCUCCAGACAGCAGCUGCAUUUCACAGGGGGGCCCUUACUACAGGUGAGUACA